GGUUCAAUGUUUUUACAAAAUUAAAGAAGAAAAAAACCUCUCCUCUUUCUUCCAAUCUCUCAUCAUCUCUCUCCCCAUCUCUUCUUCAUGUUUUCAUUCAAACCCCAGCCUCUUGAUCUCCUUUAUGUCCUUUCAUCUCCUAGCCUCUUCAUCUCCUCUACGUCUCUUCAUCUCCUCAUUUUUCUCUUCUUUCGUCAAGAAUCUUUCGGCGGAGGUCUCUUUUUCUUUUUCUCAUACAAAAAAGCAACAGUAAGAGAUGCUCUUUUAGCAGCCGAAAUCAGAUUCCAGUAGAGGAAAAUUGAAUCCUGGCGAAGAAAAGACAGAUUUAUGUGCAGGUGAGAAAAGUGGAUAUGCUUGAUGGAGUUUUCAUUACCCAAUCUGAAAAGUGAAGGAUGAGUUAGUUUUAGAUGGAAAUGAUAUUGAACUUGUGUGUCGCGGUCUUGUGCUCUUAUUAACUAGAAAUGUCAUGUCAAGAACAAGGAUAUACGAAAGUUCCUUGAUGGUAUCUAUGUCAGUGAGAAGGAAACCAUAGUUGGAGCAGAUGAGUGAUUAGUACAAUUGUAGGUUAUAUUUGCACUUAGUUUCAAGAGUUUGUUCUCUUUCUGAAAUUUUUUUGUUUUUUUUCAUGACUAAUAGCUUAAUUUUGUGGUGUUUCUUUUUGUGUCCAUCCUUUGAAAGUAAAUUACAGUUUUGUUUUAUGACAAUUUUUAGUUAAUGCACAAAAACAAUGCUUAGUAAAUCCCUUUUU